GCAUAUGAAAUUAUUUUUUAAGUUAUUAAAGACAUUUUUAGUUCUGAGCUGCCUGAGGUACCUGUAUUUCAUGCAGAGAGCAUCAGUGUCAUGGCUUUUCUGAGUAGUUACUUGUUGGAGAGUUUUUUUUUUUAAUUAUCUUUAAUCUGUUUUUGUUUGUUUGUUUAGUUUUUUGUUUUUGUUUGUUUGUUUGCUUUUUGUUUUUUGGUUUUUGUUUGUUUGUUUGUUUGUUUUUUUACAGUUCAGUCAUUUUCCCCUUUUUGGUUCAUCCUCUGACAGUUCCGGAUCCCAUUCCUACUCCUGUUUCUCCAAGAAGAUAGCCCUCCAUAUCCUGCCAGGACUUGCCACUCCCUGGAGCCUCAAUGUUUGUUGCCUCUUCACUUACUGAGGCCAGACCAGACAGUUCCCUGUCUCAAAUGGAGACACCUUAGAUAAAAUGCCCAACACUGGGGAGAGGGAACUUGUAGAGUCCACUUCCAGUAGAAAGAUAAUGCCUCAAGGGGAGGGAUCAGGGUUGCCAUUCCACAGUCAAAAACUCUGACCCAGAAUUGUUCCUAUCUAAAAGAACUGCAGGGGCAAACAUGGAUAAAAGACUGAGAGAAAGGAGGUCCAGUGACC
rnacentral:lncRNA from 1 species